GACGAACGCUGGCGGCGUGCUUAACACAUGCAAGUCGAACGCUGAAGCUCAGCUUUUGUUGGGUGGAUGAGUGGCGAACGGGUGAGUAACACGUGAGUAACCUGCCCCCUUCUUUGGGAUAACGCCCGGAAACGGGUGCUAAUACUGGAUAUUCACUGGUCUUCGCAUGGGGGUUGGUGGAAAGGGUUUUUCUGGUGGGGGAUGGGCUCGCGGCCUAUCAGCUUGUUGGUGGGGUGAUGGCCUACCAAGGCUUUGACGGGUAGCCGGCCUGAGAGGGUGACCGGUCACAUUGGGACUGAGAUACGGCCCAGACUCCUACGGGAGGCAGCAGUGGGGAAUAUUGCACAAUGGGCGCAAGCCUGAUGCAGCGACGCCGCGGGAGGGAUGGAGGCCGUCGGGUUGUGAACCUCUUUCGCUAAUGGUCAAGCCGCAACAAUGGUUGUGGUGAGGGUAGUGGGUAAAGAAGCGCCGGCUAACUACGUG
rnacentral:rRNA from 1 species